AUUGAACGCUGGCGGCAGGCCUAACACAUGCAAGUCGAACGAGUGGCGGACGGGUGAGUAAUGUCUGGGAAACUGCCUGAUGGAGGGGGAUAACUACUGGAAACGGUAGCUAAUACCGCAUACUAUCAGAUGAGCCUAGGUCGGAUUAGCUAGUUGGUGGGGUAAAGGCCUACCAAGGCGACGAUCCGUAACUGGUCUGAGAGGAUGAUCAGUCACACUGGAACUGAGACACGGUCCAGACUCCUACGGAGGGCAGAAGUGGGGAAUAUUGGACAAUGGGCGAAGGCCUGAGCAAGCCAGGCGGCGUGGGUGAAGAAGGUCUUCGGAUGGUAAGGCACUUUAAGUUGGGAGGCGUUACCAACAGAAUAAGCACCGGCUAACUUCGUGCCAGCCGCCGCGGUAAUUC
rnacentral:rRNA from 1 species